rnacentral:rRNA from 1 species
UGGGGAAUCUUGCGCAAUGGCCGAAAGGCUGACGCAGCGACGCCGCGUGUGGGAUGACGGUCUUCGGAUUGUAAACCACUGUCGGGAGGGACGAAGUUCUGACGGUACCUCCAAAGGAAGCACCGGCUAACUCUGUGCCAGCAGCCGCGGUAAUACAGAGGGUGCGAGCGUUGUCCGGAAUCACUGGGCGUAAAGGGCGCGUAGGCGGCCUGGUAAGUCGGGGGUGAAACGCUGCGGCUCAACCGCAGCACUGCCUUCGAGACUGUCAGGCUGGAGCACGGUAGAGGCUGGUGGAAUUCCCGGUGUAGCGGUGGAAUGCGUAGAGAUCGGGAAGAACAUCGGUGGCGAAGGCGGUCAACUGGCCCAUAACUGAUGCUCAUGCACGAAAGCGUGGGGAGCAAACA